AUUGAACGCUGGCGGCGUGCUUAACACAUGCAAGUCGAACGGAGUGGCGAACGGGUGAGUAACACGUGGGUGACCUGCCCUGCACUUCGGGAUAAGCCUGGGAAACUGGGUCUAAUACCGGAUAGUGUGGGAUGGGCCCGCGGCCUAUCAGCUUGCUGGUGGGGUAAUGGCCUACCAAGGCGGCGACGGGUAGCCGGCCUGAGAGGGGGGACGGACUCAAUGGGGCUGCGACACGGCCCAGAAUCCUACGGGGCGCAUCAGUGGGGAAUAUUGCACAAUAGGGGGAAGGCUGAUGCAGCGACGCCGCGUGGGGGAUGACGGCCUUCGGGUUGUAAACUCCUUUCACCAUCGACGCGGUAGAUGGAGAAGAAGCACCGGCUAACUACGUGCCAGCAGCCGCGGUAAUUC
rnacentral:rRNA from 1 species